UACCAUGCAGUCGAACGGUGAAGCCAAGCUUGCUUGGUGGAUCAGUGGCGAACGGGUGAGUAACACGUGAGCAACCUGCCCUGGACUCUGGGAUAAGCGCUGGAAACGGCGUCUAAUACUGGAUAUGAGCCCUCAUCGCAUGGUGGGGGUUGGAAAGAUUUUUUGGUCUGGGAUGGGCUCGCGGCCUAUCAGCUUGUUGGUGAGGUAAUGGCUCACCAAGGCGUCGACGGGUAGCCGGCCUGAGAGGGUGACCGGCCACACUGGGACUGAGACACGGCCCAGACUCCUACGGGAGGCAGCAGUGGGGAAUAUUGCACAAUGGGCGGAAGCCUGAUGCAGCAACGCCGCGUGAGGGAUGACGGCCUUCGGGUUGUAAACCUCUUUUAGCAGGGAAGAAGCGAGAGUGACGGUACCUGCAGAAAAAGCGCCGGCUAACUACGUGCCAGCAGCCGCGGUAAUACGUAGGGCGCAAGCGUUAUCCGGAAUUAUUGGGCGUAAAGAGCUCGUAGGCGGUUUGUCGCGUCUGCUGUGAAAUCCCGAGGCUCAACCUCGGGCCUGCAGUGGGUACGGGCAGACUAGAGUGCGGUAGGGGAGAUUGGAAUUCCUGGUGUAGCGGUGGAAUGCGCAGAUAUCAGGAGGAACACCGAUGGCGAAGGCAGAUCUCUGGGCCGUAACUGACGCUGAGGAGCGAAAGGGUGGGGAGCAAACAGGCUUAGAUACCCUGGUAGUCCACCCCGUAAACGUUGGGAACUAGUUGUGGGGACCAUUCCACGGUUUCCGUGACGCAGCUAACGCAUUAAGUUCCCCGCCUGGGGAGUACGGCCGCAAGGCUAAAACUCAAAGGAAUUGACGGGGACCCGCACAAGCGGCGGAGCAUGCGGAUUAAUUCGAUGCAACGCGAAGAACCUUACCAAGGCUUGACAUACACCAGAACACCGUAGAAAUACGGGACUCUUUGGACACUGGUGAACAGGUGGUGCAUGGUUGUCGUCAGCUCGUGUCGUGAGAUGUUGGGUUAAGUCCCGCAACGAGCGCAACCCUCGUUCUAUGUUGCCAGCACGUAAUGGUGGGAACUCAUGGGAUACUGCCGGGGUCAACUCGGAGGAAGGUGGGGAUGACGUCAAAUCAUCAUGCCCCUUAUGUCUUGGGCUUCACGCAUGCUACAAUGGCCGGUACAAAGGGCUGCAAUACCGUGAGGUGGAGCGAAUCCCAAAAAGCCGGUCCCAGUUCGGAUUGAGGUCUGCAACUCGACCUCAUGAAGUCGGAGUCGCUAGUAAUCGCAGAUCAGCAACGCUGCGGUGAAUACGUUCCCGGGUCUUGUACACACCGCCCGUCAAGUCAUGAAAGUCGGUAACACCUGAAGCCGGUGGCCUAACCCUUGUGGAGGGAGCCGUCGAAUGGGAU
rnacentral:rRNA from 1 species